UACACACCGCCCGUCACAUCACGAAAGCCUUUUGUACUAGAAGCCGGCAAUUUAACCGCAAGGAGAUAGCCGUCCAAGGUAUGAAUGGUGAUUGGGGGUG
rnacentral:rRNA from 1 species